rnacentral:lncRNA from 1 species
AAACUCCUUAUGAAGAAUGCAUGAAGCCUAAGCCAACUCCUGCUCCUUACUAUUACAAAUCUCCACCUCCUCCAUCACCAAUAUAUAUUUACAAGUCACCUCCUCCUCCAUCACCAAAAUACGUAUACAAGUCUCCGCCACCACCGUCACCAAAAUACGUGUACAAGUCACCUCCUCCUCCAUCACCAAAAUACGUAUAUAAGUCACCGCCUCCUCCAACACCAAUGUAUGUAUACAAAUCACCACCUCCACCAUCACCAAAAUACGUGUACAAGUCACCACCUCCCCCAUCACCAAAAUAUGUCUACAAGUCACCGCCUCCCCCAUCACCAAAAUACGUAUACAAGUCCCCGCCACCACCAUCACCAAAAUACGUGUACAAAUCACCACCUCCCCCAUCACCGAAAUACGUAUACAAGUCGCCACCUCCUCCAUCACCAAAAUACAUAUACAAGUCCCCACCACCACCACCACCUUACUAUUACAAGUUCCCUCCACCAC